AAUGCAUUUAAUCAUCCUAAAAUGCCAAACUCAUAAGAUUUCAUCACCAAUAACCAAAACCGUCAUCAAAAAUCUGCAUAUACCUCAUAUACAUAUACUCCCAAUAAAAAUUUCACCAAUUUUGGAGUUAACCACAAGGAGUUAUAAGGGUUUACUUUUAAAAUAGUCUUUUCCCAUAAAAUUCAUAACUCAUAAUCUAUACAUCCAAAAAUCACCAUUUUUGGACAUAAUCAAGAAAACUCGUCAAAUUAUCAUUUCAAUUAUUUUCAAAAUUUUUGAAGGUUCGGAAGAAUUACGAAACUGAAAAAUAUAACAACCCUUAAAAUCUCUUACCUCAAAAGAGCAGUACUUCUGACUGAAAUAUCGGAUGAAAAGCCGAAGGAACCUUGCAGUGAAUAACAACUCUCAAAGUAUCUAAAUACUCACAAAAUACGCUCGAUAAUAUAGAGAGAGAAAGAGAGAAAACUUAUGAAUUCUGGUGUGAUUUUCAAUUCUAACUUAGCCCUCUAUUUAUAGGAAAAUGUUAGCACGCCGAAGCAGACUUGACCUGCUACCUGAUGGCUUUACCUGCUACUAUUGCCACCCACCACAUUUGAAAUAAAAUUCAGCACAUUUCUUCACCAACCACAAGUGGGGGCCCACUCAAUUCUAGAAUUUUUCACCAAAAUCAUUUAUAAACCUAAUUUUCAAAUCAGUCACUUCUUAAAAUUCAUAACAAAUUAUACGUUCAUUUUUAACGGUUCAAAAUUUGUGGACAUAUACUCAACUUAUAUAUGUAUAAUAUAUCCAAAAAUCACAACGAUCCAACGGUCAGAUUAAAAAUUAUAACCCACACAAUAUAGCUUUAAGAACACCGAUUUGAACUUUUAAUACCUCAAAUCCGAUAAAAUACUGAUAAAACACCUCAACGUUAAUUCCUUCAUUUAUAACCACAUAAAUAAAUCCAUCAUUUAUGUCCACAUCAAAUAAAUAUUUCCUUAUCAUAUAAAUCAAUAAUUAAUUAUUCACAAAUAAUAUUACAGAAUCACAAUAAUGACAACCAGGUAGUUCCCAGGAAAGAGGGGGCUUUUCGAUAAGAAUUUCUCUUUACUGGCGCGCAAUUAGAUGACCAAACCUCUCCUUUACAGAACUUUUUAGACAUUGCCAAUAAUGCUAUCUAAUAAUAUUAUUCAAAUAAUAUGAAUUAUUGAUCUGAUAAUGGGAAAUACUGUGCAGUAACAAUUAUUGAACAACAAUAAUAUAAAAUAUCAACGUAGCAAUUAUUGAAUCAAUAAAAUAAAAUAUUGAACAGUAAUUACUGUAACAAUUAUUAGGUAGUGUCUUCUUACGUAAAAAUCAAUAAUUCAAAAAUACUAUGCAAUACCGUGUGCUACUGUACAACCACGCGUAUUACUGUAUUUUAACCACCGGGUAUUCCAACACUGUUAACGGUAACAACUACGCCGUUAUUUAUAAAAACUCAAACUUGUCGUUAUCUUCAUCCGACAAUUAUUCUGUUAUGGGGCCCACAAAUGACUGCGCCGUCGUACGGAUAUUCCCGACAAAAAGAAUAUUCUACGACCAAACGAAUAUUCCCCGACAACAAUAAGUAUUUUUUAGCCACUUGCUUAUUUUGAAAAUUUUCAUAUGUCACCCUUAACUUUAACUUUUAUCAAUUUAACCAUUUACUGAAUUGAAAUUAUAAGAAAAAUUGAAUACUUUUAUUUCAUAAAAUUCGGGGUCUUACAAUCUCCACUCCUUAUGAAAUUUCGUCCCCGAAAUUUACGUACCUGGUAUUUCAAAGAGUUAAGAAUACCUUACUGUCAUUUUCGAUUCCAUCUUCCAUGUCAUCAUGAUUCUCCAUUGCUCAACUCCUAUAUUUCAGAUAUCAUUCUAAAAUACAGCUUCAAAAUAAGCGUUAAUUGAACAAAUUAACAUAUUACAUAAUAUUUCGAUAUUAUGACUGACCAACAAAUAAGCUUAGGUAGGACACACUAGCGAAUGAUUUACUCAUCUCUCCCCUCCUAGUUCUAUUCUCCGAUCUCCGCCAGAGAUCAUAUCCCUAAGCUCUGAUACCAACGGUAACUCAAGACACCAACUUGUGUCAGCACCUCACAUUGAUACCUAUCAGUUUGCCACUGCAGAACGGCGUCCCCUACGAAAGUCUGGCUUCGGUGCAUCUCCCAUCAACAGGGAGUCACCAGCGAGAGGCUCGGGGCUCUUUACUUAUAGAUCUGAUACCAACUGUAGCGCCCCCAAAAUAGGUCCAUUCCACCCAACCUAUUCUGAGUCGCCAAAUACAUGGUACAGAAAACAACUACAACUUUAUUACAACAAUUGUCGUACAAAAUACAACAACACAUAUGCUGUGAGUUUGGAUACAAAUAUAUACCAACUGUGACUCGUGUCCCAACCGUAAUGUGAGAAAUGUCCCAUCAGUGGACAGCACCUCACAGUGAUACCUACAUAAAGGUAUAGUCAAAAAAUGUUUUAAAAAUUAGAAUCUUUGGGAAGUGCUCAAGGAAACCUUCGUACAUGGGAGGCCAUGCUUCCAGGUUAUGAUAGAUAUCAUAUGUCCACAGAAUUAUCCUUGGUUGACCUAAUAGACCCCAAAGAAAAACAAGAAGAUUACUAUCAUAUUUUUUCCAAUGGUGAGUCUUCUCUUGACAUAUCAUUAUCUCCACUGUCUCUAAUCGUGAAUUAUACUUCAAACAAACACCAAGAUUAUAUAGGUAGUGCUCGUAAAUAUACUCAGUAAGUGGAUGUGCACAACCCUAUCUUAUAAUGACACGAGGUUGUAUGACAUUAUACAUCUUGUAUGAUAGUGGCAAAACACCCUUCCAACGUUGGGUUCACCUCACCCUAUUGGAUUUAUCAAAUAUAACUACUAAAUGAUGACCACCGUUCUAUUCCCCUGUUACCCCCGCUAGACCCAGCUACAAUCGUAUUACCUGAAAGGAAUUUUGAAACAGAAGGGUGAGCACAACUAGCUCAGUAAAGAAUAUCAUGACUAAAAAUAAAUAAAUUAUCAAUAGCCUUCAAUAGUAAUAAAUCAGAGAUUUAGAACAUAUGGUAGAUGAUAAAACUUUUCAACCAUAGUUGCAGCGGAACGAGCAAUCCAUUAGAAGAGUCAAAUAGACCAUAAAGUCUAUUAUCUUCUCCAUGUUAAAAGUCCACCAACAAUGUUUUAUCCCUGUAACAUCAAUCAACAGUUCCUGUCCACAAUCAUAUGAAUAACUCAUAAUCAUAAUUGUGAUUCUAAAUUCCUCUUCGCAUCCAGGACGAAGAUAAUUUUCAUCACAUGUCUUUACCUGAAACAUCAAAGAUCAUGGUUAUACCAAAUCACAGUUCCUGUUCAUAAUCAUACUAAUAAAUUCAUCUUUGCACUACGGGCCAAAGAUAUUCAUCAACAGUUCAUCUUUGCACUACAGGCCAAAGAUAUUCAACAACAGGUCAUCUUUGCACUACGGGCCAAAGAUAUUCAUCAACAAUUCAUCUUUGCACUACAGGCCAAAGAUAUUCCUCAACAGUUCAUAUUUGCAUUACAGGCCAAAUAUAUUAAUAUCUCAAAGAAAUAUAUAAUCAUUUCAGAAUUUAUAUAAACAAUAAUUAUAACCAUGUUGAUCAAUUCACCUUUGCACUUAAGCUAAAGAUAUUCAAUUAUAAAUUCAAUGGUCAUGAUCAUACCAGUCACAAUUCAACUUUUCACUACUGGCCAAAGAGAACCCUAGUCAUGAUCAUACCAAUAAUCUACCCAUCUUUACACUCCAGUGAAAGAGAAUUUCAACAUCAGGGUUAUAAAAAUGUUAUAUAUGAUAAUAAAAUCAAUAUAAUCAAUAUAUAGUUUUAAUCUCCAGAGUAAUAUUCAUAAAUCAACUAUAAUUUGGUUAGAAAAAGAAACCAAUUUUGUAGUGAAUAGUACCCGUGAAUAGUAACUCGUGAAUAGUAACUCGUGAAUAGUAACUCAUGAAUAGUAACCCUGACACAAAAAGGUAGAAAUUCCACAAUAAAAUCCAUACCAAUAUUUCGGUAUAAUGAUAUUGAAAGAAUAACAUUUCUUAAACUUAUAAACAAUUUAUUUUAAUUGUUUACACUUUACUAAAUAAUGCAUUUAAUCAUCAUAAAAUGCCAAACUUAUAAGAUUUCAUCACCAAUAACCAAAACCCUCAUCAAAAAUCUGCAUAUACCACAUAUAUGAUUCUCAAGCCAUAAAAUCAUAUUUUCCAAUUUUCUUCCUUCACAUAACAUAUUUAACUCAUUUAUUCAUAACUAGUCCAUUUUCAUGAAAAAUACCAAAUCAGUUCCAAAAAUAUUUCUUUUCUGGGAUUUAGCAGAAUAUAGUCCCAUAUUGAACAUAUAUUUUUCUUAGAAUUUUUAAAAUUCAUUUACUAUUUUUCAUAUGGCCAAAACCGCCGAAUAUUUAGACAUUUAUCAUAAAUUGUACUUUUAUCCAAAAAUUCCGAAAUUCACAGAGUACACUGAUAUUAUAUAGAUGUACUCCCAAUAAAAAUUUCAUCAAUUUUGGAGUUAACCACAAGGAGUUAUAAGCGGUUACUUUUAAAAUAGUCUUUUCUCAUAAAAUUCAUAACUCUUAAUCUAUACAUCCAAAAAUCACCAUUUUUGGACACAAUCAAUAAAACUCAUCAACAUAUCAUUUCAAAUUUUUCCAGAAUUUUCUGAAGGUCAGAAGAAGUACGAACUGAAAAACAUAAUAACCCUUAAAAUCCCUUACUAUCCCUUACCUCAAAAGAGCAGCACUUCUGACUGGAUAUCGGAUAUGACGCUGAAGGAAACUUGCACUGAUGAAUAUCAACUCACCAAGUAUCUAAAUACUCACAAAAUACACUCAAUAAUCUAGAGAGAGAAAGAGAGAAAGCUUAUGUUUCUGGUGUGAUUUUCAAUUCUAACUUAGCCCUCUAUUUAUAGGAAAAUUUUAGCAGACUUGACCUGCAACCUGAUGGCUUUACCUGCUACUAUUCCCACCCACCACAUUUGAAAUAAAAUUCAGCACAUUUCUUCACCAACCACAAGUGGGGCCCACUCAAUUCUAGAAUUUUCCACCAAAAUGCUAAAUUCGGAUACUUCAACAAUUUCUGAAUCAGUCACCUCUUAAAAUUCAUAACAAAUCAUACGUUCAUUUUUAACGGUUCAAAAUUUGUGGACAUAUACUCAACUUAUAUAUGUAUAACAUAUCCAAAAAUCACAACGAUCCAACGGUCGGUUAAAAAUUAUAACUCACGCAAUAGAGCUUUAAGAACACCGAUUUGAUCUUUUAAUACCUCCAAUCUGACAAAAUACUGAUAAAACACCUCAACAUUAAUUCCUUCAUUUAUAACCACAUAAAUAAAUCCAUCAUUUAUGUCCACAUCAAAUAAAUAUUUCCUUAUCAUAUAAAUCAAUAAUUAAUUAUUCACAAAUAAUAUUACAGAAUCACAAUAAUGACAACCAGGUAGUUCCCAGGAAAGAGGGGGCUUUUCGAUAAGAAUUUCUCUUUACUGGCGCGCAAUUAGAUGACCAAACCUCUCCUUUACAGAACUUUUUAGACAUUGCCAAUAAUGCUAUCUAAUAAUAUUAUUCAAAUAAUAUGAAUUAUUGAUCUGAUAAUGGGAAAUACUGUGCAGUAACAAUUAUUGAACAACAAUAAUAUAAAAUAUCAACGUAGCAAUUAUUGAAUCAAUAAAAUAAAAUAUUGAACAGUAAUUACUGUAACAAUUAUUAGGUAGUGUCUUCUUACGUAAAAAUCAAUAAUUCAAAAAUACUAUGCAAUACCGUGUGCUACUGUACAACCACGCGUAUUACUGUAUUUUAACCACCGGGUAUUCCAACACUGUUAACGGUAACAACUACGCCGUUAUUUAUAAAAACUCAAACUUGUCGUUAUCUUCAUCCGACAAUUAUUCUGUUAUGGGGCCCACAAAUGACUGCGCCGUCGUACGGAUAUUCCCGACAAAAAGAAUAUUCUACGACCAAACGAAUAUUCCCCAACAACAAUAAGUAUUUUUUAGCCACUUGCUUAUUUUGAAAAUUUUCAUAUGUCACCCUUAACUUUAACUUUUAUCAAUUUAACCAUUUACUGAAUUGUAAUUAUAAAAAAAAUUGAAUACUUUUAUUUCAUAAAAUUCUGGGUCUUACAGUAGUAAUUUUAGGAGAUAAUAAUUAAAUUUAAAAGAAUAAUAUCAGAACAGUUGACAUUACUAAAAUAAUUUAGAUUUGUAGUGAUUUAGGGAAUUAUAAAUUCAAAAUAUUAAUUUGAGAAUAAAAAAGUAAUGAUUUUAGGAGAUAAUAUUAAAUUAGUAAUGAUAAUAUUAGAACAGUUAACAUUAUCAGAACAAUUUAGAUUUGUAGUGAUUUAUGAGAGUAUAAAAUUAAAAUAUUA
rnacentral:lncRNA from 1 species